AUUGAACGCUGGCGGCAGGCCUAACACAUGCAAGUCGAACGAGUGGCGGACGGGUGAGUAAUGUCUGGGAAUCUGCCUUAUGGAGGGGGAUAACGACGGGAAACUGUCGCUAAUACCGCGUACCAUAGGAUGAGCCCAGGUGGGAUUAGGUAGUUGGUGGGGUAAAGGCCUACCAAGCGGACGAUCCCUAGCUGGUCUGAGAGGAUGACCAGCCACACGGGAACUGAGACACGGCCCGGACUCCUACGGGAGGCAGCAGUGGGGAAUAUUGGGCAAUGGGGGAAACCUGAUGCAGCCAUGCCGCGUGAAUGAAGAAGGCCUUCGGGUUGUAAAGUUCGUUCGGUAUUGAGGCGUUUACUACAGAAGAAGCACCGGCUAACUCCGUGCCAGCAGCCGCGUAAUUC
rnacentral:rRNA from 1 species